GGGGCUGGUUCUGGAUUCGACGGGAUUUGCGAAACCCAAGGUGCAUGCCGAGGGGCGGUUGGCCUCGUAAAAAGCCGCAAAAAAAUAGUCGCAAACGACGAAAACUACGCUUUAGCAGCUUAAUAACCUGCUUAGAGCCCUCUCUCCCUAGCCUCCGCUCUUAGGACGGGGAUCAAGAGAGGUCAAACCCAAAAGAGAUCGCGCGGAUGCCCUGCCUGGGGUUGAAGCGUUAAAACGAAUCAGGCUAGUCUGGUAGUGGCGUGUCCGUCCGCAGGUGCCAGGCGAAUGUAAAGACUGACUAAGCAUGUAGUACCGAGGAUGUAGGAAUUUCGGACGCGGGUUCAACUCCCGCCAGCUCCACCA
rnacentral:tmRNA from 2 species